CGACUAAAAUCUAGUAGGAAAUCUAGUUGUCAAUGAGCUCCUUGGAGACGUACUUGCCGUCCUUGUCCAAGUGGUAGACAAUGGGGACACCAGUGGCAAGCUCACGCUUGACAAUUUGGUCACCAGUAAGACCCUCCAAGUCCAUGAUCAAGGCACGGAGAGAGUUACCGUGAGCGGCAAUGAGAACCUUCUCACCCUUAAGGAUGUGAGGGACAAUGGUGGACUUGUAGUAGGGCAAGACACGCUCGGCGGUGUCCUUCAAGGACUCACCGUUGGGAGGAGCAAUGUCAUAAGAACGGCGCCAGAUUUGGACUUGCUCAGCACCCCAUUUCUUACGACAUAUACACUGUUUUUCUACACUAACUCAUUUCUAUGAUGUUGUAUAAUGCAAUUUCUUUUUUUGAAAUCAAA
rnacentral:misc_RNA from 1 species